rnacentral:lncRNA from 1 species
AUGGCUGGAAAGAGAGGGCGAAGAGAGAGAGAGACUUGGGAGAAAGAGUUGUCUAUUUUCUUGGCUUUUUUAAACUUAUACAAGUACAUGUAUAUAUAAACACCGGGUCAAGUGACCCAAACCCAAAACUCCCUUGACCAACUCUAUGGGAGAUUAGGUUAACCCAAGCCCAUGUACACCCAUGACUUGACCUAAUCUCACCUCUCCUGGGCCCAGACCUGGCCCAUAAAGAGUUGGUCCCUUG